rnacentral:tRNA from 1 species
UUAAUUGAAACCAAAAAGAGGUAUAUCACUGUUAAUGAUAUUAUUGAGAGAGUCUCCAAUUAAG